rnacentral:lncRNA from 1 species
UUUACCUUGUUUUGCCAACAUCUCUUUGAAGUACAUAAUUUCUUUUAGCAACAACAAACCAUCAGAAUGAAUCUUCAAUUCUUCAAAAGUCUCUUUAGUGAACUUGUGCCUAAUAUUCUUUAGAUUUCUUAAGUUCUUUUUCAUUGACACCUCUUUCAUCUGUUCUUUAAAAUCUUCGAACAAAGGUCCAACAACAAGUUUCAUCUUUUUAUCUACUAUCUUAUAUUUUACUUCAAUCACAACCUUUGAUGUUUGAAAAGAUUUAAUCAUAUCAUAAACUUCUCUCAAAUAAAUUUAUAAAACAUUAUCAUCAUCAUAUAAUCCAAUAGAUACAAUCAAUUCCAAAGGAUCUUCCAAUCUGUUUUCUUUAUAAAUACCAUUAAUCUUUUUAUUAUCUUUUAUUAUUUUUAAUCCACUUAAUUCUUUUUUAAUAGCAUACAAUAUAUAUAUAUAUUUUUUUAAAUCUUCAAUCUUCUUAUAUAUAAUACUUCUAUUUUUAAAAAUAUUAAUAAAUCUUACAUCAAAGGUACCAACAUCUAAAGAGAUUACCUCCCCUUUUGUACUUCUAUAAUCUUCCUUGAAUUCUUCAACAACUUUUGGUAAUAAACUUUCUCUUAAUUUGUUUUGAUUCUCAUCAUGAUUUAUUGGCUUAGUCAAAAAUUAUACUACACUUCUCUCAUCCUCAC